rnacentral:rRNA from 1 species
GGCUCAGGAUGAACGCUAGCGACAGGCCUAACACAUGCAAGUCGAGGGGCAGCACGAAGGAAGCUUGCUUCUUGGUGGCGACCGGCGCACGGGUGCGUAACAGGUGUGCAAUCUGUCCAUAGUCGGGGGAUAGCCCAGCGAAAGCUGAAUUAAUACUCCAUGUGAAUCGAAGCCGCAUGACUUUGAUUUGAAACGCAAGGACUAUGGGUGAGCACGCUUCUGAUUAGCUAGUUGGUGGGGUAACGGCUCACCAAGGCGACGAUCAGUAGGGGUUCUGAGAGGAAGGUCCCCCCACACUGGAACUGAGACACGGUCCAAACUCCUACGGGAGGCAGCAGUGAGGAAUAUUGGUCAAUGGGCGAGAGCCUGAACCAGCCAAGUCGCGUGAAGGAUGAAGGUUCUAUGGAUUGUAAACUUCUUUUGUCCGAGGGUAAAAAAGGUCACGUGUGACUUCUUGCAAGUAUCGGACGAAUAAGCAUCGGCUAACUCCGUGCCAGCAGCGGC